GCAGCCACAUGGUGGCCUGGAACAGGAGCUCUGGAGAUCCCAGCAGGACGCUUCUUUGGAGAGAGGGUGUGAGCACCAGAAGGAUUAGGGGAGAUCCUGUCUCAUGCAGGCCCAGGCAGCCAUGUCACUGAGGGGAUUCCAGACAGUUCCCUCUGGAUGUCUUUGCCUGCCCCAGGGCCUUGUCCUGUCCCUUCUGGGUUCCUAAUGGGCUCUCAGAGGGUGGGCUGGGCAGUAAGUUCUUUACUCCCUUCCCCUCCCUGCAGGGCAGCCCCAGUUACUGGCCACAUGAGUGAAGCAUCUCACGGCUGGGAGGGGACAAGAGCCAGGUCCAAAUGGUCGGAGAAGUCAUGGAUGGAAGUGGGAACCCGAAGCCAGAGGAGAAGUCUUGCGCCUUCACUGGCCCAUGAGCCCCACCUGCUGCAGAAAGCACAGGGCUGGAUAAGGAAACUGCCGCUCAGACAGGACCACAGCACCCCUUAACAGGGCCUUGACAGAGUCUGGGGCAGACUGGACGCCUUAACACAUAAGCGGAGACCCCUGAUGUCCCUGCUUCCAACUGCACUCUGCACUCCAAGAAAAGAGAAAGUGAGCAGAAUGACUUGCAGACGUCUGGGCUUAGAAGAGAGAGAAGGGAGGGAAGAGAAGGUGACAUCUUGAUGUCCAUGGGGACAGCUCUGGGGCAGGGCACCUGUCUGGGUUAAGCCAUGGGGAGGCAUGAGGGUGACCAUGUAGACAGGAAAUCUGCAGUCCGAAAAUUUCCAGUACACAGCAUGGAGUAAGCCUGGAGCUAACAUUGCCUGAUCCUGGGAGCCCAGCCCAGCCCCAGCCCCCUCCACGCCAAAGCUGAUUAUUCUUAAUUAAACUGCUCCUAAGGAUUUCACAAACCCAUUUGGUCCUCAGCCCUGCCCAGCCCUGGACAUAAACAUUGUACCAGCCCUGGAAUCUAACCUUAAAUGAACGGGACAGAUAGGAACAGCUGGGAAGAGGUCUGCUUCACUCUGACAAUGAGGAAUUUCUCUAGAGCAAUCUCUUUCGUAAACAAAUAAACAAGUCCUUGCCAUGUGUAGAGAUGUUAUACUAUACAGUGCCUUCAAAUGCAUGAUCUCAUCUGAUCCUCACACAGAUUGGGAGCUGGGGGCCCAGGGAAGAGAGUCAGAGUCAGGAUUCAAGCCCAGAGCUGCAUAGUUGGAACUGAGAUUUUAAUUUUAAGCUCCCUUGGGAAAUGUUCUUAAAUGUAGAGAAUUUUAGGUUAGGAAAAGAAACUGCUCUUCCCUUCCAUGGAGCAGCAGCUUUUUGAGAGCCACACACAUCCUAAGGGACCAAGGGAGCUCAUGAUUGGACAGAAGGUUCUAGAAGCUUCUGGAUACAGCAGUGGCCAUGGAGCAAUGUGGGAAGCACUAUGAGUCCCUUGGGGUCCAGGCACCUCAGUCUGUCCCUGGGAUUCUGGCGGUAGAGACCUAGGCUAUCCCAGAGCACUGCCACACAGAAUGGCUGUGUGGUCAGAGCUGCCCUGCCC
rnacentral:lncRNA from 1 species